GACACGGCGAUCCGAGGUCGUUCGUUAGUUCGUUGCUGACUAGAUACUCUGCGAUCCUUGUUGCAAUGAGCUUUCUCAAAAGUUUCCCGCCGCCUGGGUCGGCAGAGGGGCUCCGGCAGCAGCAGCCAGAUACUGAGGCUGUGCUGAACGGGAAAAGCCUCGGCACCGGCACCCUUUAUAUCGCUGAGAGCCGCCUGUCUUGGUUAGAUGGCUCUGGAUUAGGAUUCUCACUGGAAUACCCCACCAUUAGUUUGCAUGCGGUGUCCAGGGACCUAAAUGCCUAUCCACGAGAGCAUUUGUAUGUUAUGGUGAACGCCAAAUUUGGAGAAGAAUCAAAAGAGUCUGUUGCUGAUGAAGAAGAGGAAGACAGUGAUGAUGAUAUCGAACCUAUUGCUGAAUUUAGAUUUGUGCCUAGUGAUAGAUCAGCCUUAGAGGCCAUGUUCACUGCAAUGUGUGAAUGCCAGGCUUUGCAUCCAGAUCCUGAGGAUGAAGAUUCAGAUGAUUACGAUGGAGAAGAAUAUGAUGUGGAAGCACAUGAACAAGGGCAGGGGGACAUCCCUACAUUUUAUACCUAUGAAGAAGGAUUAUCCCAUUUAACAGCAGAAGGCCAAGCCACACUGGAGAGAUUAGAAGGAAUGCUUUCUCAGUCUGUGAGCAGCCAGUAUAACAUGGCUGGAGUCCGGACAGAAGAUUCAAUAAGAGAUUAUGAAGAUGGGAUGGAGGUAGAUACUACACCAACAGUUGCUGGACAGUUUGAGGAUGCAGAUGUUGAUCACUGAAAAUGAUUGAUGCUGCUUUAGGAUUCUGCUCAUAACUGUAGGAGAGAACUUGGUGCCUCUUCCACUGUGGAGUGGGUAUUGAUGAAAAUCUUUUUCCUUCUCCAAAACUUACCUGAACCAGUUCUUUCUUGAGACAGAUUAUACUGAGACAACAAGUUGUCACCAGCACAAGAAACUAUGACCUUUAUUAACAAAGAAGGGAGAAUUUGGACACAGAGACAGACAUGGCAGAGGGAAAGCCAUGUGAAGAUGGGGGAUUGUAGUGAUGCAUGUACAAGCAGAGGAAUGACUGAGGCUACCAGAAGCUAGGAGAGAGGUCUGGAACAAAUGCUUCCCUAGUGCCUUUAAGAGGGAUCAUGGUUCUUCUGACCUAGCUUGGACUUCUGACCUCCAGAACUGUGAGAGAAUAAAUUUCUGUUAUUCUAAACCACCUAGUUUAUGGUACUUUGUUAUGGUGGUACUAGAAAACUAACACAUCUCCUGCAUGGUCGUAAUUUUUUUCUGAGGAAUAGGGAUCUGGGCUAUAUAUCGUAGUUUAGAGUGUCAAAGAAUUAAAAAAUUGACAAUUAUCAUUCAUUGUUUAAAUGCAAAACUCUGCAGGUAAAGGAAAAGUUGGUUAUCGUUACCGAACUUUAUAAAUAUUUUGUGUUCUGAAAUAUUUUUGGCAUAUUAAAAAAAUUAAUGUAACCUAGAGAAUAUUAUGCUUAGUGGAAUAAGUCAGAAAAAGACAAAUACUAUAUGAUUUCGCUUAUAUGUGGAAUCUAAAAAUAAUACAAAUGAAUGUAUAUGCGAAACAGAAACAGACUCACAGAUAUAGAAAACAAACUUGUGGUUACCAAAGGGGAGAGAGAAGUAAGGGAGGAACAAAUUAGGGGUAUGAGAUUAACAGAUGCAAACUACCAUGUAAAAAGUAGACAGGCAACAAGGAUAUAUUGCGUAGCAUAGGAAAUUACAGUCAUUAUCUUGUAAUAACUUAUAAUGGAGUAAAAUCUGCAAAGAUAACUGAGUCACUAUGCUAUACACCUGAAAACAAUGUAAUAUUGUAACUCAACUACAGUUAAAAAAAAAAAAGACUAAUGUAACACAUACCCAUAUACUCACAUGCAACUAAGAAAUAAAAUUGUACAAAUGCAAUUGAAGCUCCCUUUGUAUUCCCCAGAUCCCAGUCCCCUUCCUCCUCUUCAGGGGUAAGCACUAUCCCGGAUUUGGUAUUGAUCAUA